rnacentral:lncRNA from 1 species
UCCGCCCCCGCGGUGGGAAAAGUGGGCGCCGGCGGCUGCUUCCCAGCCCUGCUGAACCGAAAGUUCUGGGUUUCAGCGGGAGAUGGGGGCGCGCCACCGCGACCAGGUGCAGGAGAGGAGGCCACUUCGCACAGAAUCAGCAACUGUCCAAUGGUCUGGCCCGCACAGCAGGAGUUGUGAGGUUCCCACGUGGCUGGAUUGAACAGGAGAAUCUGGAACCAGGAGUGAGCAGAGCUGGCCCCAGGCCUUGGUGGCUGUGUACUAGUUCUGUGACCUGCAAUCAGUCACUUAACUUCUGUGAGCUCCUCUCUUUCCGUCUGUAAAAAAGGAAUAUGUACUACCCACUUCCUGAGUAGAUGUUGAAGAUGUUGUAAAAGGUUCGAGUCAACCAAUUAAAAGCAAUAGAUCACAUGAAGAUGAGUAUAUCUUCUGUUUGUUGGGACAUAAUCCAGAGAGGAUCUUUCUCCCCAGAUAUUAUGGGAUGGCCACAUUUUACAGCUGAGAGUGACAAGGCUUAGAAACUAAACAUAUAAGGUCCUGCCCCAUCUCCUGGAAGAAGGAAUGCUACACAGAGAGGCUAAGAAGACUCUGGACAGUGCAGAAUCUGGAGCUAGAGAAAAAUUUAAAAAGCCACAAGGAUGUGAAUUGCUGAGCCUGAGAUAGAAGAGGUAGGGAAAAAAAACAUAAGAACCUGCUUGUCUUCUGUUGAGUUAAAACGAACUAUUUUUUAAAAUAGUGUGAAAUAAAGGAAAUGAGAGACAUAUUAAGGAUAUGCUACAGUGAAUGUAGAGACAA